GGGAUCAUUACCCAAAUAUGAACGCAGACUGGGCACCCUAGAGAGGAGCGAUUCGUCGCCCCCCCUCCUGGGCCGGUCUGACGCCAUAUUCACCCAUGUCUUUUGCGUACUACUUGUUUCCUUGGCGGGUUCGCCCGCCAUUAGGACCCAACUAUAAACCUUUUUGUAAUUGCAAUCAGCGUCUGAACAAACAAUGUAAUAAAUUACAACUUUCAACAACGGAUCUCUUGGUUCUGGCAUCGAUGAAGAACGCAGCGAAAUGCGAUAAGUAGUGUGAAUUGCAGAAUUCAGUGAAUCAUCGAAUCUUUGAACGCACAUUGCGCCCUUUGGUAUUCCAAAGGGCAUGCCUGUUCGAGCGUCAUUUGUACCCUCAAGCUUUGCUUGGUGUUGGGCGUUUUUGUCUUGGGGUCCGCCCCGAGACUCGCCUUAAAAUCAUUGGCAGCCGGCCUACUGGUUUCGGAGCGCAGCACAUUUUUUGCGCUUUGGUCUAGUGGUCCCGCGUCCAUGAAGCGAAUACAUUUUUUCAAUUUGACCUCGGAUCAGG
rnacentral:rRNA from 1 species